CUGACGUUAGCGGCGGACGGGUGAGUAACACGUGGGUAACCUACCUAUAAGACUGGGAUAACUCCGGGAAACCGGGGCUAAUACCGGAUAACACAUGAAACCGCAUGGUUUCAUGAUGAAAGACGGUUUUGCUGUCACUUAUAGAUGGACCCGCGGCGUAUUAGCUAGUUGGUAAGGUAACGGCUUACCAAGGCAACGAUACGUAGCCGACCUGAGAGGGUGAUCGGCCACACUGGAACUGAGACACGGUCCAGACUCCUACGGGAGGCAGCAGAU
rnacentral:rRNA from 1 species